rnacentral:rRNA from 1 species
GACAAACGCUGGCGGCGUGCUUAACACAUGCAAGUCGAACGGAAAGGCCCUGCUUUUGUGGGGUGCUCGAGUGGCGAACGGGUGAGUAACACGUGAGUAACCUGCCCUUGACUUUGGGAUAACUUCAGGAAACUGGGGCUAAUACCGGAUAGGAGCUCCUGCUGCAUGGUGGGGGUUGGAAAGUUUCGGCGGUUGGGGAUGGACUCGCGGCUUAUCAGCUUGUUGGUGGGGUAGUGGCUUACCAAGGCUUUGACGGGUAGCCGGCCUGAGAGGGUGACCGGCCACAUUGGGACUGAGAUACGGCCCAGACUCCUACGGGAGGCAGCAGUGGGGAAUAUUGCACAAUGGGCGGAAGCCUGAUGCAGCAACGCCGCGUGCGGGAUGACGGCCUUCGGGUUGUAAACCGCUUUCGCCUGUGACGAAGCGUGAGUGACGGUAAUGGGUAAGGAAGCACCGGCUAACUACGUG